rnacentral:rRNA from 1 species
CCUACGGGUGGCAGCAGUGGGGAAUAUUGGACAAUGGGCGAAAGCCUGAUCCAGCAAUGCCGCGUGAGUGAUGAAGGCCUUAGGGUUGUAAAGCUCUUUUACCAGGGAUGCAGUACCUGGAGAAUAAGCUCCGGCUAACUCCGUGCCAGCAGCCGCGGUAAUACGGAGGGAGCUAGCGUUGUUCGGAAUUACUGGGCGUAAAGCGUGCGUAGGCGGUUAUUCAAGUCAGAGGUGAAAGCCUGGAGCUCAACUCCAGAACUGCCUUUGAAACUAGAUAACUAGAAUCUUGGAGAGGUGAGUGGAAUUCCGAGUGUAGAGGUGAAAUUCGUAGAUAUUCGGAAGAACACCAGUGGCGAAGGCGACUCACUGGACAGAUUGACGCUGAGGCACGAAAGCGUGGGGAGCAAACAGGAUUAGAUACCCUUGUAGUC